rnacentral:rRNA from 1 species
UACACUCCUGCGGGAGGCAGCAGUGGGGAAUUUUGGACAAUGGGCGAAAGCCUGAUCCAGCAAUGCCGCGUGUGUGAAGAAGGCCUUCGGGUUGUAAAGCACUUUCAGCGGGGAGGAAGGCGAUAAGGUUAAUAACCUUGUCGAUUGACGUUACCCGCAGAAGAAGCACCGGCUAACUCCGUGCCAGCAGCCGCGGUAAUACGGAGGGUGCAAGCGUUAAUCGGAAUUACUGGGCGUAAAGCGCACGCAGGCGGUCUGUCAAGUCGGAUGUGAAAUCCCCGGGCUCAACCUGGGAACUGCAUUCGAAACUUGCAGGCUAGAGUCUUGUAGAGGGGGGUAGAAUUCCAGGUGUAGCGGUGAAAUGCGUAGAGUUCUGGAGGAAUACCGGUGGCGAAGGCGGCCCCCUGGACAAAGACUGACGCUCAGGUGCGAAAGCGUGGGGAGCAAACAGGAUUAGAUACCCUUGUAGUCCCAUGAU